rnacentral:lncRNA from 1 species
UGAUUGUGACCGAGAUCGUCAAACUAUUUUGGUCCAGGUCUUAGUGAUGUCCUGGAAAAGCUACCUCCCGGCUCCCGCAAUGUAUGAUACAAACUAUGGUAUUUAUUUGGACUAUAAGUGGGAUAAGGCGACUAAAAUGCAUCCUGACCAGGAGCCAAAGGUAUUUUAUUACUUUUUGGCUCUGCUGAAAUCAGUUUCUGAAGUUUCUUUCUAUUAUGUUCGCGUUUUGCUAUAGUAUUACGACUUUCAAAUGAAACAUGUUUCAAUAUUUUUUAGUUUGUGGGACAAAUAGGAAAUUGAUUAGACAAUAAAUUAUUUUUGGAUUGAUAAUGUGUGUGCAAAGAAGGUUAUUUAAGAUUUUAAGUGCAAGAAACACUUUUGAAAAGUUUUUAUUCAGCCAUGAUGCUGCUAGUGGCCACAAGAAAUGCCUCUAUUAGACACACCUAGUGGUCAAGAAAUGUGUGUGGGACCUUUGACAAACCAUUAGCAUCUUGGGGGCUAUGAUGGCUAAGAGAUCUAGGAAUGAAGCAGUUUUUGAAAAUGUGGAGCAGAUUAUAUUACAAACUACAGGUGCUUAUGAAGGUCAAAGCUACGGUUAAUACUGGAUUCUGCCAUUCUGGGUACAGAAAAAGAAAAGAUUUGGCAGAAUUUAUCAUUGGGAGAGAUCAAUGGGCUUUAACACCCCGUCUUUCAAGAAUUGGAAGUAGCAAGCUUAUUAUUUGGUUAUUGGCUUUUUAUGCAAUUUAUUCUCAUCGUUUCCAUGCCGAAGAACCAAUUACUCUCUGUUUUUAAUUUUAUUAGAGAAACCCCACAAUUUGUUUGCUUCUUUUCUAGGACCCUUCAUAGCCUAAAUCCUGUUUACUUUGCAGGAGGAGGUAUCACUGGAUACAUUUCUGAAAAAACUAGGUCUUGAGAAGUAUAUCGAAAUAUUUGAGAAAGAGGAGGUAUGUGUUUUCUUUUUCUUUUUAGUUUUCUGGAUGUAAGGAAAACCCUAAAUAUCUUUUACAUUAUAUCAUCAACAUUUCCUUUGUAGCUGGUAAUACUUCUUAUAUAGUUUGAUCCAUUUUUAGUCUUUCCUUUGCAGAUUACUUUGAGGAUUUUGAAAAAGUUCGACUGCGAGGAUUUUGGGGAUCUACAUAUUCCAGCAGUAAAUUAAAAUGGUUUUUAGAAUUUUUCCUUUUAGUUUUGCUUCUGAUGCCCAUUUAUAAUUUUACUACAGUACCUAGCUGUGCAUGAUUUAACAAGAUCUAUGAAAAAUCUACCUUUUAAAGUUGGUAAAUAGCAAUUUCAUUGUAGAAGGAUUUAAUUCAGAAAUUGCAAUGAGGUGGUAGGUGUUUAGAGGCAUCUGUAUUGUUACUAGCUUCAAAGAUUUGCCAACUAGGUUGGCAGUCCUUAGCAGACUCAACUCUUGAAUAUAUACUAAGUUCAAGUACAUUUCUAUUCUUGAACCAGCCAAAAAGCUUCAUUCAAUAAAAUUUAGUGAGAAUCCAAGGAAAAGAGGGAAUAUGAUUCCUAGAAUCCUAGUAGAGGGCUGCCAUGUGAACAAGCAGAUGAUUCAGUCCAAUGUCUUUGAGGAUAUUGCUUUAUCUAGUGGGAAUGUAGGAAACUGUCAGUUGGUUCAAUGUCAUCUUCUGUCUAAACAAGCAGAAGAGGUAUUGCUUUGAGGGAAUGUAGACAAUACCUCUUUUCUCUUUGAGGGUAUUGCUUUAUUUAGACAGAAGAGGUAUUGUUUAGACAGCACCCUCACGUUUGAAUUAACAAAAGAUGGCUAGCUGCAGAUGCCAGCUGAGCCUAGUUGGUAAUACCUCUGGACGAUGAUACCAGAGGUUUGGGGUUCGAACCCAGGCAGUACAUCUUUGAGUAACUGAUCUGUUAAAAACAGGCUUGCCAAUAAAUAAAAAAAUGGCUAGCUGAUGUUACCUUAUUAUGUUCAUUUGUUUAAUUAUUGUUUCUGUUGCUCUUUGAUUGUACUUUGGAUUCCUUGUUUUUUCCUUAUUUAUCUUCUGACCAUGUAUUUCCGUCAAACUUGGUGUUGUAGAGUUGUAGGAGGAAAUUAAGACGCGCGUUGCAAGACACUGGAUUUGGAGUCAUAAUUGGUAGAUAUAGAAGGUAGCCAAGGAGUUUGUGACUUUUGUUGUUUUUUCAAAGUUUGUGAAUGUAGAGCAAUGCCAAGGAUUGUAGGACUGUCUUUCAUAUGUAAUUUUAAAAGGUGGAUAACCCAUCACUCUACCUUACAUAUGUAAUUUUAAAUGGUUAUAUUGGAUUCAGUAGACUGGCACAUCUAUGUUACUCAAAUGUUUGUAGUAAA